UGAGUCCGCGAUCCGGGGUUUGGGCUCCGCCAGGGGUUCUGUUUAUAAACACACAGCGAGGUCGCCGGCGGCCUGGGGUAAACCUUAAGGUUGAACCUUCCGACCGCCGUGACCUUUGACCGCGUUUGACCAUCUGUGAGUGGCAGUGGGCGGAGCCGACGCAACACCAAGGAUCGGAGCAGCUUCCGUGAGCUCAGACCAGACACUGAGCGGCUGAGUCCAUCGCAGCCGCCGAACCAGGAGAGCGAGUCUCUAACCACCUUCAAAAAACCCGAAAGUCACAAAAGCCAGGCCUUAGGAUUGUGAGCCACCAAGACACAUCCUGCUGCUUGACCGUAGGCGGCAGGAUCUUCCUGCCCCGGGGGGG